rnacentral:rRNA from 1 species
AGGCGGGCUGGAACCUCUCGGGGUUACAGCC